rnacentral:lncRNA from 1 species
AUUCUAAGCUCAUUCCAAGUAGUAAAGGGUGUAAUUUGGUCUAAAAUGACAUAUGAAAAUAACUGUUUUUCAACCUUCAUCAGCUACACCCUCCUAAGUUUCCUAUACACACCCCUCCUACCACUAAUUAUGCCAGAUUUCAUCAGAUUUUGCUACGUGGCAGUCCACCACUAAUAGAUCCAACCACCCAGAUGAUGCCAUGUCAUUGAUCCUACUACAAACCAAAUAGACCACUUAGAACACGCCACCUAACCCCC